CUCUUUUUCCUUCUAUGAAAAAUCCUGUUUGUUAACAAGGAAGUUAUAACUGAUUGGUUUACUUAUUGUCUUAAUGCUAACUUGUUACUGUAACAGUAAAUUCUGAUUUAGUUGUUUUUUUUUUUGUGGUUAUAAUGAUUUUUUUUUUUGUAGUGAGACAUAAUUUUAUUCAAAUUUGUAUAUAAUACAAAGCUGACAACUCUACAGGAUUUUGCCAUUUUCUCUUGGUCUACUGGUUUAAUAAAAAAAAUUUCCUGGUUUUCGUACAUUUUAAAAUAUUCCCUGAAAUUGACUCUUCUAAUACUGUUGAAAGAUCAAUCCCCAGAUGUGAGAAUCAGAGUAGCUGAAGCAUUGACCUUAUUACACCAUUAUUGAGUUUAGACGACUUCCUUUGUUUGUUCUGCCUACAAGAACUGAAGAAAAAAUGUGCUUGCAACCUUUUUUUAAAAAAACGAAAACACAACAACACAUAUAUAUAUACAUACUUAUAUACAGUUUUCAAUGUGUUGUGAGUAACAAUAUAUAACUAACAAUAUAUUGUUAGAACAGGGAAUGCCAAUGGAUAUUGGAUUUUCCACGAUGAUCACAUAUUCCGAUUUUUUUACUCUUGUAAAAAUUUUAAAUUACAGAAUUUUUAUUGUGUCAUUUUUUAAAUUUAAUUGCCAUUAUUAAAUGUUAAGUUUAUUAUUGUUGAUUUUAUUAUUCCGUUGCCUAUUCUGUUCGUUGCCUAUUCUGUUGGGACAAAAUUGAAACCUGAUCAUUUUGUUCAGUUAUCAUUGGAACUUCAUUUACAAUUUUGCUUUUAUAAUUCCUAAUACUGUUGGGAUGAAAUUGAAAUCUGAUAAUUUUGUUUGGUCACUGUUGAAACUUCAUCGACAACCUUUUUUUUAAAAAAAAAUUCCUGUUUCAUGAUUAGUUAUUAUAAAAACUUUUAUUAUCUGUUUAUUACCCAAAAUAUAUAACAACUAUGUGAAAAGUUAAUUUUUAAUGUCUUACAAUUUUGUAUUAAUUAUUUUUAUUACAUUUUUUGACUGGUAUGGUUUAAUGUAAAACAUAUUAUGAAGGCGAAUGUAACGUAUUUGUUACUUUAUAAUUGCAAACGUAGUUACAUAACGUUUUAAAUAUGUUUAUUUUUGAAUGUUUUACACAUCUAAUUUUGCAUAAUAAUCAAAAUCUAUGUAAUAAUAGCAGAGAAGAGAAAUAAAGUAUAAUAAAUAAAUAUAGCUUUAAAAGGUUAUAGGUUGUAAAUACAAUUAGAUAAAAAUACAGAAGAAAUAUUUUUCAGGUACAAAAUGCCUUCAAAGCUUUAAUAUUUUGCCAAAGGCAACUAAGAAAAUCUAAAUUAUUAUUAGGUAAGAAUCAUGUUACAAUCAAUAGAACAACGAGCAUAAGUUUGAUCAUCAAGAUUCUAUAGUAUUUCAUUCAAUUUGGUUGAUUAAAUGGAACAUUGAUAUUUCAAUUAUACAUAGAUAUUAGUUUAUUAGACAACUGUGUUUCCUUUUCUCUAUGAAUAAUAAUUAUAUAUAUAUUGAAAUACUUUUGAUUUUUUUUCUUCAUAAAACUGGGGUGCUUUAUGCUUACCAUAGAGUACCUUAUACCCAAACUUUCCUGAGAUAAUGGGGUGCUUACCAAAAUACCUAAGGGACCAUUGUGGCCCCUCUUGUCAUUCUAGGUAUAAAGUUCUAUAUAUACAUACAUUUCUAUUAAGCUAACACAUGAAUGAUUAAAUGAGCUCUUAAAUUGGAUCAAAUUAUGAAAAGUCAGAAGUACUCAACAUUUUUAAUAAGUUUGUUUUUAAAUUUCAGAGCAACAAAAUACCAGAGGGGUAUUUAUUAAACUUGCGAGUGUAAACAAUGAAAACUGCAGCUAGGAAAUUUUUGAGAAAGCAAGAACUAUUAACUUUUUAUAUUAUUGCUUUUUUUUGAGAGGUUGAAAUGUCAGAAGCUAAGCAAACCAAAAUUGAUUUAAAAAAAUUAUUAUUAGUUCUAAUGCUCUAUAAAAUUUCUUUUUUUUUACUACAAAUAAUAAAUACUACAUAUUUUUGGCAUUUUAAGUGCUUGCUACUAAAAAUUAUUUUAAAGCGUUUUCAGAUUAUUUUGCUCUAAACAAAUAUUGGCUUGUCUAAUUGGUAGAUUUAAAAAUAUGUGGAAUGAUGCUAAGUCUCGCGUUUCACGGGUAGUGUUAAAGAUUUUUCUGUAUAAAGAAAUAAUUCCUUAGACUCUCUUUUAGAUGUAAUUCCUUUCCUUUGUCUACUAACUGACCCUCUUGAUUUUUUUUUUGGGGGGGGGAGUCAUCUUUGUUUCUCGCUAUCACAAAACACAUUUUCCUCAAAGAAAAAAAUCAUUCCAUUAAAUGUUCUUUAAAUUUCUGUUGUUAUGUUUAAAAAAUAGUGCCAAUCUGUACUUCAAUGCUAAUGUUUGCUUUUCUUGUGAAUAACCAGUUGUGUUUUAUUAGUUUGCUUCUUUUUGUCUAAUUUUCUUUUAAUAUAAUUUUUGAAGAAUUACAAUAAAAACAUAUUAUUUAUCUUACA